UACGGAGGGAGCUAGCGUUUGUUCGGAAUUACUGGGCGUAAAGCGCACGUAGGCGGCUAUUCAAGUCGGGGGUGAAAGCCCGGGGCUCAACCCCGGAACUGCCCUCGAAACUAGAUAGCUAGAAUCUUGGAGAGGCGAGUGGAAUUCCGAGUGUAGAGGUGAAAUUCGUAGAUAUUCGGAAGAACACCAGUGGCGAAGGCGACUCGCUGGACAAGUAUUGACGCUGAGGUGCGAAAGCGUGGGGAGCAAACAGG
rnacentral:rRNA from 1 species